rnacentral:rRNA from 1 species
AUUGAACGCUGGCGGCAGGCCUAACACAUGCAAGUCGAGCGAGCGGCGGACGGGUGAGUAAUGCCUGGGAAUUGCCCAGUCGAGGGGGAUAACAGUUGGAAACGACUUCUAAUACCGCAUACGAAUGGAUCGCCCAGGUGGGAUUAGCUAGUUGGUGGGGUAAUGGCUCACCAAGGCGACGCUCCCUAGCUGGUCUGAGAGGAUGAUCAGCCACACUGGAACGGAGACACGGUCCAGACUCCUACGGGAGGCAGCAGUGGGGAAUAUUGCACAAUGGGCGCAACCCUGAUGCAGCCAUGCCGCGUGUGUGAAGAAGGCCUUCGGGUUGUAAAGCACUUUCAGCGGGGAGGCGUUACCCGCAGAAGAAGCACCGGCUAACUCCGUGCCAGCAGCCGCGGUAAUUC